rnacentral:lncRNA from 1 species
ACACCGGGGAUCUUCUGCUUGAUCUUGUCCACCAAGCCCUCCUUGUGUUCGCCCUCCUUGUGUUCCCCGCCGUGAUGCUGCUGCUGAUGGUGAACAUCAGUAGUGCCGACACCGGGGAUCUGCUGCUUGAUCUUGUCCACCAAGCCCUCCUUGUGUUCGCCGCCGUGAUACUGCUGCUGAUGGUGGACAUCAGUAGUGUGGUGGUCCCCACUAUGGUGCUCUCCCUUGUGCUUGUCCUCCUCCUUUUGCCCUCCUCCCAUGUGAAGGGCUUCUCCGAUCUUGUGAAUAACUCCUGACAUUUUCCCUUAAAAUGACUCUGUUCCUCUUCUUUUCUUUUCAAUGAAAAAUAGUUGUUUGCGAUCUUCUUCUGGUUGUUGUUGUUCUUGUUGGGUGAUCUUGGCUUGGUAUUUAUAGGCUCCAAAAGGAGGGACUAGAAUUAGGAUUAGAUUAUAGAUUAUUUUAAUACAUUUUAUGGCAAAUUCUGAUUUGGAAAGAUAAGAUUAUCCUUUUGGUUUUCCUUAUUUACCCUUUUGCACCCAUUACGUGUACGCGUCUUCGUGGGCUUUUUGGGUAUUUCAAUUAUAUCGCCAAUGCUAAAUCGACACGUUGCAUAUCAGCCGCGGUACUGCCGUAUGUAGUUGUCCAGAAAUCGAGUCGAUUCUCGAUCGUACAAUAAUUAAAUAAUAUUUCAUACGAAAUGAGUUUAGAUAUAUUUUGAAAAUUUAUUUUUAAUUUAAUUAUACGUGUUAUAUAUUUGUUAAUCGAAUAGAGGUCCCACGUAACAGAGUGUUUCUCUAAUCUUUCAUUGCUUUUAAUUAAUUUUACCCAAAUAAAAAAAAAAAGGAAAAUUUAGAGAGAGAGAGAGAGAUAGCGAAUUAGAAGUUGAUUGUAAUAUCGACACCUGUCAGACAAUCAAAUAUCGUUAGUUAAAAAUCAGUUGUCCAUAGUCAUGGUCAUAGAUGGCGAAAUUGAUACUUAUUUUAAAAAACAAAACAAAACAAAACGAAACGAAACUAAACUAACAGAUGUUGAAAUGCAGUUCCGUGUUAACAGUCUGUGAUGAAUCUUUAUCUUUGAGUAUACCAUUCAAGAAAUUAUCAUUCAAAAAUUUAUUUAAAGCAGCAGCAAAUCACCUUCUAAUUCCUGAAUCAAAUUAAUUCGAUUUUUUUCGAGUCGAUCAAUUCAUUAGAGAAUUAACGGGCUAAGUUAAAGUUUUGUUAGUUAUUUUUUUUUAUAUUCCUUUAGAUGAUAUGAUUGUCAUUGUCUUUCUUUCUCUGGGCAACAAUAAAUACAAGAUGUGCAAAAGCGUAGUGGAACAUAAUUCGAUUAUGGGUAAAGGGAUCAGUCCGCAUAAUGAGGAUAAAGUUUUUCUCUUUAAAAAAAUUUAACCCAAAGAAAAGGUCGUAGUUUGUAAUAGCCGACACGCAGAUAGAUCACAAAGCAUGGCGGUCCUGAUGGCAAUAACUAACUGAUAUCUUCUGCGAUGAGAGGAGAUCACGUGGUUCUGACACGUAUCGCCCCAUCAACUGAUGUUGUGGCUGCAAUCGCGGCCCAGUCUUUAGAGAGAAGAAAGAUCUGUUAUAACGGGACCUACUUUAGCAUCUAUUUACGACAAAGCCCCUAUUUACUCUACUUAGUAGUAAUAAUAGCAAGUGUCGGGCUUGGAUUCCGUGUUGCUUUAAAUAAAUAUCCGCGUAAAAAGAAAAUGCUUCUUUAAUCCCUUCCUUGUAAUUUUUCGACACGUGGAUGGUUGAAAUUAGCGUGCCGACAUCUUAGGAAUUUUAUCUUGGAGACGGGAACACUGCAGUAGGCAAUGCCAUUUUCUUCGGAUGGUGUGUGGUGACAACGCCUUGGAUUUUGACGUGCAAAGAAUUUAAAUUGAAAAAGAAAAAAAGAAAUUACCAGAAUAAGCAUAGAAGAGAUAUUUUUCUUUUUGUCCUUUUUGGAAUGGAAAAAGAGAUCAAGAGAUUGUUCCAGUAAGUAUUACACAUGUCACAGGCUUAUUCAUGCCCCAUUAUGGCAACUUUUAUGCCUCGCGGUGCCCUCGGUUCCAGCAUAAUAGCUAAGACUUCAAUUUUUCUAACAUAUUUUUGUUACAAAUAUGAACGGAGUAAAUGUAUAACUUUAAUCCUUUGAAUAAAGAAAUGGCGGUUCUCCUGCUCGUUAAUCUCACUUGAAUCCCACCCAGGCAAAAUUUCUUUAUUUUAUUUAACAACAAUUUAAAGAAAGAAACUUUUGCCAGGUUGAAUUUCAAGUGAGAUUCAUUCGUGGGAGAAGUGCCAUUUCUUUAUUCAAAAGAUUAUGGUAAUUACAACUUUCAAUUUCGACAUAAAUUAAAAUUAUAGGCUAUACAAUAAAAUUGCCCUAAAUUAGUCCUAAUCAAUUCAGAUUAUAAAUUUAGGUAUAUUUAUUAUUUUAAUAUAUUAAUGUUCUAUAUAUAUAUAUAUAUAUAUAUAUAUAUGUGUGUGUGUGUGUGUAUNNNNNNNNNNNNNNNNNNNNNNNNNNNNNNNNNNNNNNNNNNNNNNNNNNNNNNNNNNNNNNNNNNNNNNNNNNNNNNNNNNNNNNNNNNNNNNNNNNNNNNNNNNNNACAGCAGAAAAUAUUUGCUAUGGAUAAGGAGACAUGGUCCCACGUCCCACCGUCCCAAUGCAUAUUUUGUAUGUUUCCAUCUUUUCUGAAAUUUUAAUAAAUAAAGUUUUUUGACCACUUGGCCAAAGAACCUUACCCUUACACAACUUUGUGGUUGGAGUCCUGUGAUACAUGUAAGAACUUAUUUUUUUUCUUAAUUAUAAUAUUUUAGAAUAUAAUUAAGUGAAGUAGGUUUUUUUUUUAAAUAUGAGUAAAAUAGAUAUUUUUUAAAUAUUAAAGAGAGUAAAAUUUGAAUAAUAAUAUAUUAAAAUUAAUACAAACUAAUUUUAAUAAUUAUUUAAUUAUAAAUAUCAAUUAUAACAUCAUAUAAUAUCAAUUAUAAUAUCGUACAUCUCAAUUAAUUCAAUAAUAAUAAUAAUAAAUGUUUUUUGGGAUAAGUAAACAGUCGCAUGGCGACAAUAGUGGAUCUGGAUUAGAGUGAAGUGGUCCCAAGAGGCUGAGGCUGUGGCUGUGGAGUUCUAAAAGUCAAAAGCUCCACGCACUUUGUUUCAGUACCAUACACACUGAAAAAAUUUGCAUUUGCAAUGACGAAAACUUUUCACGAAAUCAAAACACCUCUAAACUAUUUUGUUAUCGAUAUUUAAUGGAGGGGUUUCCUACCUUUUUAACACUCGAUUCACGCCUUGACGCAUCUCACAGAAAACCUCAUGAUCCCAUUAAUCUUGCGUAACAUAUCUCAAAGCCAAUGCAAGUGAUCUUGUUGCCUACUUCCCUUUGACGAUUCAAAAUUGUUGAAAAUAAUUCUUUUUUUUUUUAACCUCAAGGAAGUGACAAAAUAUAAAAGAAUAUUUUCUACACAUUAAACAUCUAGAUUUUUUUUUCUUUUCUUUUUAGAGUACUUGCACAAACCGUUUCCAAGAGAGACCUUUUUUUUUUUUUUUUUUUUCCGGGCUUGGUUACUAAUUUGGUGUGAAUACUCUAUGGUGAAAAAGGAAUCACAAAGCUGUAAUCAAUUUUUUUGCAUCAUUUAGUUGUAACUUGAACAUUGGGAGGUUUAUAAAGAAUUAAAUUAAUUAUAAUGCCUCUACUAGGAAAAGUUCAGAGUAGCCCUUCACAACUUUUUAAAGGCUUAAUAAUUUUCGCUUUCUUCCUCUCAUAACAUAACAAAAAAUUAAGAGCUUUACUCGUACACGUCCUAUGGCUAUAUAGUAUUGGGUUCUCUACUUCAAUCGGCUAUCUCAAACCGAAGGUUAUUUGGACACACCAGCAGUCACGUUUGGAAACUCUCAAAUGCUUGGAUUGUAAUUCUUGUGGAUGAGAUCAUCUAAAUCUUGGGCCCAAGCCGGACAAUGGGUGGACAAAGAACCCUAAAAUACAGUAAAGCUUCUAACACCCCACUAAAACUCUUAAGAAAUCCUACCUUUUAUUUUUAUAUCUCUUUCUUUUAGAAAUUAUAGAGAAGACAUAGCAUUUUAAUUAUUUUCCCUGCCAUUGAAAAUAAAUUCUGUAAACAUAUUUUUUCAUAAUAAAAUUAUUGUUAUUAGAUAAUUUAUUUCUUCAUUGUUUCAAAAUUAUUAUAAUUUUAUCAACAAAAUUAGUUAUGUCAUAUAUUAGGAUUAAAAUUAAUUAGGAUCCAUAACUUGUAAAGACAUUUUAGUUUAAUUGAAUUCAUAUUUGUCAUUUUAUGUAAUUUUCAAUAAAAAUACGACUAUGAGUGCAAAAGUGGGAUGACAUAAUAUUAAAAGAGUGUGAAAUAAUCGGUAAUUGAAAUGGAUUGAAAUCAUAAUAGAGUAUGAAAAUCAGAAUAAAUUGUUUACUUUAGUUGUAGAAAUCAAAAUUAAAAUAAACCAUAUUAUCAUUGAUGUAUAUAUGUUUUCUUGUAAUCGAAAUGAAUUCUUAUAAGUUACUAUAAGACCCUUAUGGUGUGUUUACUAAUCAGAAAUCAGAAUGGAGUGGAAUUUGAAUAUAGAAUGGUAGGGGUAUUCGCGGAUCGGAUUUUACGGAUUGGACAUUAAUUCAUAUCCGAUCCAUAAUUUUACGGAUUAUAAAUUCUCAACACAAUCCAAAUCCAAUCUAUAUGUUUGCAGAUCGGAUGCGGAUUUGACUCAAUUCAUAUCCAAUCCACUAUUUGACGGAUUGAUUUUGGAAUUAAAAAUUUUUAAUUUUGUCCAAUCUAUGAGGUAAUUAAAUUUAAAAAUCUAAUAUAAAAAUAAUUUAUUAAAUAAAAAAUUAACGUAAAAAUAAUUUUACUACCAAUUAAAUUCAAAAUUGAACAAGAUUUAAAUAAAUUAAUUAUUUAAAUAAAACUAGAAUAAUUUAUUUAAAAUUUUUAAAUAUAACAUAUCGAAAAAAAAUUCAUUUGUUUAGAUUAAUAUAUGAAAAUUAACUAAAAUUAUGAAUUUAAAUGUUGAAAUUUGAGAGCUUGGAUGUAACAGGAAGAAAUUAAGAAACUUGAAGAACUUGAAAAGAAAGUAACAAAUUAAGCUUAACUACCUCUAAUGGUGAAGUGAAACAGUGAUGGUUUGUGCGUGCAAUGGGGUACAAAUUUGGCAUUAUAUGCCAAAAUAUUUUGUUUGGCUUUAGAAUUUUUAAUGUUUAGGAAGCUAUAUUUGUUUAUUUAAUUACUCAAAUAUUUAAUUAUUUUUUAUUUUAUGUUAUUAUUGAAUAAGAUAUAAUAUUGUGUUAAUUUAGCUAUACUUUAAUUAAUUAAUUAAUUUAUUAGUAAGUAGCAUUGCUACAUUUAUAAGUUUUAUUUUUUAUUAAAUAAAUACUUUUUUUUUUCAGAUUCACGAAUUUUUACGGAUUUACAGAAAUAAAUCCAUAUCUAAUCCAUCGACUGUGGUUUUUUAAAUUUUCAUUCCAAUCCGAUCUACCAAUCCACAAAUUAUAUUUUUACGGAUCGGACGAAUUGAGCGGAUCAAAUUGGGUUCUGAACACCCCUAGAGAAUGAGAAUCAAAAUAAAUUAUUUACUUUAGUUGUGUGAAUCGGAAUUGGAAUAAAUUGUACUGUCAUUGAUGUGUUUACUUUAUCUUGGAAUCAGAAUGAAUAAUUUCAAAUUACUAAACUGACCUUAAUUUUUUAUUGUAAUAAUAAUAGUAGUAGUAGUAGUAAUAGUAGUAAUUUUCUAUUAUUAUUAUUAUUUUCUCUCUCUUUUGUUUUUAUUUUUUUAUUUUUCUCUUCUUCUUCUCUUCCUCUUUUUUUAUUUUUCUCUAAUUCAUCGAUACUUCUUCUUCUUCUUUUUUCUUUCGUUUUUAUUUUUAAUUUUUCCCUUCUUUAUCGUUCCUUCUUCUCCGUCCAUUCUCUAUCUUCAAACUCUUUUUACUUUUUCUCUUAUUCUUCAUUACUUCUUCUCCCUUUUUUUUUUUUUUCUCUUCUUUAUUAAUUCUUCUUCUUCUGCGUCUAUUCUUCAUCUUCAAAUUAUCAAGUGAAAAAUACCCACGGUGCCUUACAAGAAGAAUUGGUUUUGUUUGCUUCAAUUAUUUUUUGUAUUUUGUACUUUUGAUUGUUUCAAAAGAGGAUAAACUUGUAAUAAUGCAAUUUAAGUAGGGAUGUUUUAGACAAUUUUGGGUAUGAGAGUCUAAUUCCCAACCCCCCACUCCCUCGUAGCAGACUCCCAUUCUUCAUUCCUAACUUGGUGUUGGACCUACUAAAAUAAAUCCCAUUCCCCUUCUUAUUUCAAGAAGCAAACACGAUUUUGAUUUCAAUUCCCCAAUCCGAAAGUAAACGCACAAAAAUUGUACCCAUAUGAGAUUGCUUAUCCUCGAGUUUUUAGAUUGAAAAAAAAAAAGGAAAAAAGAAUGGCCCCAUUAGGAAGGGAUUUUAAGUGUUAGAUAAAGCCGGUGUUAACCAUUAGAAGGUCUCCGACCUUCAACUGUAAUAUAUUAAACCCAGAUAAAUUUACAUAUAAAUCACACAAACCAACAUGCCAAUCAAAUAAAUUACAUCAACUAACAACAAUUGACACAUUAAUUUUCAUAAUACAGAGGAUGCAGAAAAUUAAAAUGUUUUAUCUUUUCUCCUUAUUUGUGAAUUGGAAAAUGAAAAUGUUAAACAUACAGAAGAGUGAAACAGGAUGGAUAUAUAUACACACACACACACACACAGCUUUGGAGUUCAAUGUCAUCGUAUUGCUCCAAGAAGAUUGGCGCCAUCAAGCUUUGCACCUUCCAGAUGCUGUUUAAUCAUCACCAUAACACCUUCAGUAGACAUUAAUACAUAAUAGAAACACAAAAUUCACAUGAUCUGAAUGUCUGGUCUAUUUUACUUACCGUAUCUCGAAGAUUUACGUGCCGUAAAUAAGCUCUUUGAAGGUUGGCACCCUUUAAAUUGGCAUUACGUAGCUUUGCACCCUGCCGCAUAAAUGUUCGAAGUUUCAACAAAUUAAAGUCUCCUGAGAAAUACAUGUCACGAAAAAGUAGGGCUGAAACUUGCAUCUAAUGUACAAGAUUCAAUCAGGGGUGCUUGUCCCACAGUGAAAGUGUAUGGGGGAAAGUGCACUUUCACAAACCAAAGGGGCAAGAUGUGAUUAUCACACGAUUACAAAAGGACUGUAGUCAAGAGAGAGAACUGAACAUGCAGCUUGUAUUGAGGCCAUGAAAAUUGAUGAAAAGCAGUAACAAGCAACCAUUUUGAAAACACUUCAUAUGGUCGAAUCAAUAAAUCAAAGCUAAAAUGAUGUUGACGAUCGAUAGCUUUUAGGUGAUAAGAGUCUUGGCACUACAGUUAAAAUUAUUAUCUAGGAGUGCACACAUUAAUAAAAAAAAACACAACCAAUAAGCAUGCACUCUUAAUCAGCAUAUAAAUUAACAAGUUAGUUGCACCUUAUGUUGUUCCACAAACAGAUUGCUCGAACAAUUCACAAUCUUACCUUCAAAUUAGCUCCUUCCAAAUUAGCUCCCUCUAGGUUGGCAUUAGUAAGAUCAGCAGUCUGAAAAGUCAAGAGGACAAACAGAUUGCAAUUUGAUUAAAAUCUCAAAGUAGCAACAUUCUGCAUGAAAGAAGAGCAGCACAAUUGGCAACAUACAUUUUAGAUUAAGAGGAUGGGAUAAAAGCAAAAUUACAAGGACAUGAAGCAAAUGAGCCAUGUUUAGUAUGGCAAUUUUGACCCAAUAAUUGUGGCAGGUCUUGGAGAUAACAUAGGCAUACACAUAAGGCAGAAGCAAAUACUGUCGCAAACUCCUAGCUAACUACAAAUGUUCCAUAUAGAAAAAAACACCUGCAAAAGUAAGGGAAAAAGCAACAGAUAAAGAACUCAAGAUGCUAGACCUGUAAGUGUGCAGAUCGCAGGUCUGCUCCACAGAAGCUGCAGUCUAUCAAGCAAGCAUCUGCAAUGAUUUAAGAUAAAUUUGAAUCCAAAUGACAUUUUACCGCAAGUAGUUCCAGCCAUUUUGGGAACAAACAAGAAAUGCUAUUUUGUAUUCAUUGUAAUUCCUUAAGCUAAAUAACAAUCAUGUGCUAUCUUAACCAAGGUACAGUUGCAAAUUCUGAAAUUGUGAUGCCAUAGGUUGUUCUUAAUCUUUUUGAACUGAAUAUUGAAAAAAUAUUCCUUCAAUCAUAAAUGUUAAAUAAUUAAAAGAACUGUGAGGGGGGNNNNNNNNNNNNNNNNNNNNNNNNNNNNNNNNNNNNNNNNNNNNNNNNNNNNNNNNNNNNNNNNNNNNNNNNNNNNNNNNNNNNNNNNNNNNNNNNNNNNNNNNNNNNNNNNNNGGGGGGGGGGGGGGGGGAAUGAAUAAGCGGAUGCAUACAGAAAAUUAUGGAAAAUCUGUUAUGGAAAUAAUAUGAAAAUGGGUAUGCAUAACUACAUACUGAAUCUUGACUAAUUUCAAUUUAAUUCAGAUAAGAAAUUCCAGUAUGGGAAUUGCCUUGUAAAUUUGCACUCUGAAGAUUUGCACCAGCUAGUAAAGCUCCACGAAGGUUUGCCCCAGCAAAUUCACAUCUUCCCUAGGCAAGAUAAAACCCUUAAAAGGCAAUUUUGAAAAAUACAUAUAAUUGGGAGAAUAUCCAGUAUUGCUUUGACUCUCUUACUCACGCAAAGUUGCAUUGUGAAAAAUGGAACCCUCAGCAUCCACAUCCUGUAUCAAGAACAGACAGAUUCAGUAUGAUUAAUAUAACUGGUUGCUGGAAGACAGGACAAAAUCGCAUCUUGUCACUGUCAACUUGCAUGUUAAGAAUUAAACACGAAAACUGCAUGCUGUCCAAUUAUAAGAAACCUAUAAAAUUCAAAUCAACAUCAAUACUGGCUUAAGGAAGAUAUAAAAAUAAAAAUUAUACCAACCCGAAAUUUCGCAGAUUGAAGAUUUGCACGUGAGAAGAAAACAUUUCUAAGACACGCAUAGCUGAAGUCCACAAGUGAAAGAUCCUGGCCAUUUUAAUAAGAUAGCAUCAGAGGAAACAAUAUCUAAUGAAUAUAUAAUGUUCUUUCUUGCUUAUCUGAGAAUACUAAUGAGAUUAUCAAAAAAACUCUAAGCUACUGCUAAGAAGUCUUGUGUUACAUGAGUAUGAAUUGAGGAGGUAAAGAAGACCCUUCUCCAAUAAGUUACCAUAGAAGCCACAUAAAACCCUAAAGCAGUUACAAACUUACAAUGACCAGAAUAAACCACCCCAACUAUCUAUUGGCAAGUAAAAUCACUUCUCUGGAUUUCUGAAAACUAGCAAAACAAAUGCAUAAAUUGGCAAAUUCGAUGAUUUCCUCUGAAAACCAAAUUAUAGCAGACAUAAAACUUGGAAGUAUUCAUAGAAUAAAAAUCUUUCAAGCACCUCAAUUCAGUAAUUAUUACCAGCUUAGAAAGAUCAAGGCCAGAAAGAUUAAGUCCUCGAAAUCUGACUUUUUCAGACUGUAUACACUUGAUGAUAUCAAUGCGUGUUAGCUCAGUAUCUAACUCAUUAUCUUCCUUUCUCUUAUUUAUGACAGCAUGGAUUCUCUCAAUUAGUCCCUGAAAUGAAACACAUUAGAUGCAAACUAUUAUUUGAAAAAAGAAAUACAUUUUAUCCACUAACACACAUGGAUUUCAACAGCAAUCAUACAAUAAUUGAGGAAGGACGGUCAUAUCAGACUCAUCUGCCAAGAUUCAAUAAGCACAUCAAACUUGUUUACAUGUAAUUUCCACAUUCCACGUGAAUUUAUAAGGUCUGCCUAAGCAAACCAAAGAAGGCUACACUCAGUACUGUGUGUAUACUGCCUUACCUUUGCUGUUCCCCAGAUACCGUCCUGCAAUCCAGAUACUUAGCUGUGAAGUUUCAAGCCAGCGAAACCAUUUUAAAAGUACACAUGGACACAGAUACCAUUAUCUGAAUCAUCUUCGAUAACAAAUUAAAAUGCCCUAGCGUUCAAAAAACUUAGGAUCUCUUUAAGUGAAGUUCCUUUAAAAAAGUAGAAAAAAACUGAACAACAAUGUCAUGCUAAUAAAAGGUAAAAAAAAUAAAAUAAAAUAAAGCAUAAGGACAGAAGUUCACCAGGAGCAUGCCAGUAUAAACCAAAACGACCACAAAUCUCAACCAUAAAAUUUAAAGUAGUAAAGUAAAUAAUCAAGGGCAUGCAGUUGGCACAGGUGCUUCCAAAUAAAAUGAUGAUUCUUUUCAAACAGAAAAAAGAAAUGGAUGUUAAUAAACUAGAAGAAACCAUGUCUUACAAGUAAUUGAUAAUAUUCUGCUUCCCGUAGAAGCUCUAAAAACUCUGACUCUGUUAAUGUGGGGACAGCCCCAUCCCUUAACCAAUUCAGAAUAUGCCGAAAAUGUUUUCCGUCCCUAUCAACAAAGAUAUAGCCCUGCAAUAAUUCAAUAUGCUCAAAGAUAAGAAUCUGAAUAAUAUACCCAAGAGAAGUGCUUUUCCCUGGAAUAAUAAAAAGAAAAUAAGUCAAAACGUUUUUCUUAAUGGAAGAACACAAAGGAACAGCUCUAUGACUAACAUGAAAACCAUAAAUCAGAAUAAGAACCCAAAACUGGUCAUUUGGAGUUUCACCAGAUCAAAAAGAUCACAUGGAAAUAAAAUUGUGAAAAUGGGAUUAUUUAUGCCGAGGUCAUGGCUAAACUGCAAUCAUUACUCCAUUUUUGGUAGAAGGAGAAGAAGAAAGAAGAGUAGGUGAGUCAUCAUUCUUUCAGGUGAGUCAUCAUUCUUUCUCUGUGAUUAAUUGAUAUGAUGGAAGUGUUGUAGAUAUUAAUUUGAUAGUGAUUCCUCCCUUCAAAAGAAUUCAUUCCUUUUUUUAUUAUUUCACAAAGUUUAACUAAGACUGAGUUUUCUCAAUUUGAAGGCAUCGUGCACUCUACCCCUUUCUUUUCCUCACAUUGCUUCUUCCCAAUCCCAAAGGGAAGAAAUCAAGAAACAAUUACAAUUUUUAACUAUUCACCAGCAAAAACAAGGCAAAGAAAGAUGCUGAGUGUAAGCAAAAAUAAGAGAGUUAUACACCUCAGAGUCUUGGCACACAGUAUGGCGACCGCUGAACAUAGCUGCAAGCAUAGAUUCAGGCUCACGACGAGUCAGAGUAUCAAUUGUUGUAUAAAAUUUCUUUCCCCCUGGAUAUUAAUACAUAAAAUAUAAAUUUGUUCACUUAAAAGCAUGAAUUGUGCAAAUUUGUCAAUAAUGUCAUUCUUUCACAAACGUUCACCGAAAUGUAUAACAAUAAGUGCAUCAUAACAUAACUAAACGGCUUAAGAACUGCGCAGAUAUUACAUACAGUAGAGAAACAAGAAAUAGAAAAUGAGAUUUGCCCUUUUUAAACAGAAAGCAAUCAAAGAGUAAACUAAAGAGCUAAUAAUUCACAAAAUUCAGUUGAUUAAACUCAUUUACAAGUAAUUAGCAACAAAAUCCAAGCUAAAUAAAAAUAAUGAAAAUUAGGUUCUUAUAACAUCCGUCAAUUCUAUGAAAGUUUACCACGAUCAGCAACAAAUAGAUAAAUCGCAAUAAAGAAAAACCGACGACAUGUCGGUUGUGUAGUGCAUAAGUAAAGGAAUUUGCAGAUGAUGUAAAGAGAAUGAGGGAUAGUAACUGACCGAUGUUGAGACGAACCAUUGAAGACGAAUCGGAGUCCUUCGCCAUUGUCGAGUGUAAUGACUUGUCGUCUUACUUGCGCUCAUAGGUAUUUAUAUCAUAGCUGACACUGUUCGAAGGACAGCAAGGAUUUGGUGGGCACAAAUGCAUUUUGGAAAUUGGGCUUCGGCCCAAGAAAUCGAAAAUCAGAGGCUUUUUUUUAAAAAAAAUUUAAAAGGAUUAGAAUGUCUAUAAAUUAAUAGGGCUGAGACCAUCUUAAAUCUAUUAAGUAAAAGAGAUAUUAAAUAUUUUAUUAAUUAAUAAUUUAUUAAUUUACAGAAUUAUUUAUAAUUCAAUUAACAUACAUUUAAUAACUAAACAUUCAAUGUACAUAAUUUCUGAUUACAAUUCAAAGCACUAACAAUACUUCAUAAUUUCUUAUUACAAUUCAAGAAUUCAACCUCAUAGCUUUUAGAUGCAAUAAGAAAAAUAAGAAAUAAGAUUCAGUUAUAUUU